rnacentral:rRNA from 1 species
GACGAACGCUGGCGGCGUGCCUAAUACAUGCAAGUAGAACGCUGAAGGAGGAGCUUGCUUCUCUGGAUGAGUUGCGAACGGGUGAGUAACGCGUAGGUAACCUGCCUGGUAGCGGGGGAUAACUAUUGGAAACGAUAGCUAAUACCGCAUAAUAGCAGUUAUUGCAUGAUAACUGUUUGAAAGGUGCAAUUGCACCACUACCAGAUGGACCUGCGUUGUAUUAGCUAGUUGGUGGGGUAACGGCUCACCAAGGCGACGAUACAUAGCCGACCUGAGAGGGUGAUCGGCCACACUGGGACUGAGACACGGCCCAGACUCCUACGGGAGGCAGCAGUAGGGAAUCGUCGGCAAUGGACGGAAGUCUGACCGAGCAACGCCGCGUGAGUGAAGAAGGUUUUCGGAUCGUAAAGCUCUGUUGUAAGAGAAGAACGAGUGUGAGAGUGGAAAGUUCACACUGUGACGGUAUCUUACCAGAAAGGGACGGCUAACUACGUG